CCUACGGGAGGCAGCAGUAGGGAAUAUUGCACAAUGGGGGAAACCCUGAUGCAGCGAUGCCGCGUGGAGGAAGAAGGUUUUCGGAUUGUAAACUCCUUUUAUCAGGGACGAUAAUGACGGUAACUGAUGAAUAAGCUCCGGCUAACUACGUGCCAGCAGCCGCGGUCAUACGUCGGGAGCGAGCGUUGUCCGGAAUUACUGGGUGUAAAGGGAGCGUAGGCGGGCCGGCAAGUCAGAUGUGAACACUGAGGGCUCAACCUUCAGACUGCAUUUGAAACUGCUAUGCUUGAGUGAAGUAGAGGUAAGCGGAAUUCCUAGUGUAGCGGUGAAAUGCGUAGAUAUUAGGAGGAACAUCAGUGGCGAAGGCAGGUUACUGGG
rnacentral:rRNA from 1 species